AUAGUUGAUAACAUAUUUUGGUGUUGAUAGAUUAUAUUGUUUUAUACAGGGUACAGGUUGUAAUAUAAAUGAAUAUAGGUUGUUUACAAAUUUUUUUUUUUUUCAAAAAAAAAACAAAAAAUUAUUUGGCCACCAAAUGUUUUGGUAGCCAAAUAGGUAAUCAAAAGUUUUGGCUACUAAUAAUUUAGUAGCAAAAACAUAACCCAAAACGUUUUUGCCACCAAAUAAUUAGUAGCUAAAAGAUUUGAGAAUGAGAGAAA